CUAUCUGCAUACACAGAUUACCUCGUGAUUUGGACACGAAGUGGUGGAUGUAUUACAAUCAGGGAUAUGCGGGAUUUUUUCGAGAAAAGUUGAAGACGGAGUAAGGAACGGAAGAGCUCAAAAAUGGGCGGAAACCGGGAUACAAACACGGAAACGAAAACGACUCAAAACUCAAUACUUUAUCCAAUUUUUCAUAAGUAUAUAUCCAUAAUCGUAGUAAUAAAUAGGUUGCCAUUAACGAAUUUACGAAACGAGGAAGACAGCAUGCGAUGCUUCUUCAACGGCAUAUAACAAUGAGAAUCCUUGUAUUCCUAUCAUUACUAAGAUGAAUAUUCAAACAUUACUAGUGCAACGCAACGACGUUUAUGAAAAAAAAUUUUAUAAAUAGGAUGAAAGCAUUUCCAACGCAAUAAACCCAGCUGGUGAGUAGGAUGCCGGAGAUUUCGCCACUCCUAAUUGGGAGAGGAGCGCUAAGGUUACAGUUGCGUUCAGCACUCACUACACGACACCUACUCUGUGACAACCCGGAGUUGGGCUGGUUCCCUCCGACGUUUCCUCCAGGAAAGGCUGGAGUUCAUAGCUGUUAUAUCCGGUAAAGGGAAUGAUUAGAGGACUCGGGGUCGAAACGAUCUCAACCUAUUCUCAAACUUUUAAUGGGUAUGUUGUCUCAGUUUCUUCAUUGAACUGUUGACACGAGCGCGAGCUCCAAGUGUGCCAUUUUUGGAAAGCAGAACUGGCGCUGUGGGAUGAACAAACGUUGGGUUAAGGUGCCUAACUUUUCGCUCAUGAGACCCCAUAAAAGGCGUUAGUUGAUAUAGACAGCAGGACGGUGGCCAUGGAAGUCGGUACCCGCUAUGGAGUGUGUAACAACUCACCUGCCGAAUCAACUAGCCCUGAAAAUGGAUGGCGUUUGAGCGAGAGACCUAUACCCAACCGUUGCUGGCUUGUGCGUUGUCUAGCGCCUGGCCGCAACGAGUAGGAGGGUCGUGGCGGUUGCGUCGAAGGCUUUGGGCGUAGGCCCAGCUGGGGCUUCCGUCAGUUCAGAUCUCGGUGGUAGCAGCAAAUAUUUAAGUUCGAUCCUUGAAGACUGAAGUGGAGAAGUGUUCCACGUGAACAGUAAUUGAAUGUGGGUCAGUUGAUCCUAAGAUACUGGCUUAUGCCUUGUAUCACCGAGAGGGAAAAGUCUCUUUUCUCUCGGAUAUCAAAAGGGAAUAGGGUUAAUAUUCCCUAACGCAGACACAGAGAUUUGUGCUCUUUGAGUCACUUGCGCGGUAACGCAUUCGAACUUGGUUACGUCGCUCAGAGACCGAGCUAGAGUUCUCUUCUCUAGUUAAGGAACGGACUCCCUGGAAUCGGCUCAGCCGUAGAUAGGGACGUUGUUUUCUGUAAAGCAUAGCGGUUUCUGUGAUGUCUCGUGUUUUCUGGACGGCCCUUGAAAAACCAAGGAAGGCUAUUAAUCUGUGCUGCAUCGUUCCGAUAUCCGCAUCAGGUCUCCAAGGUGAACAGCCUCUAGUCGAUAGAAUAAUGUAGGUAAGGGAAGUCGGCAAAUUAGAUCCGUAACUUCGGGAAAAGGAUUGGCUCCAGUGACCGGGUCGGUUGGCCUGUUAACUGAUGCUUGUGCGGUUUCGGCUGGCAGACGCUCACGCUGAUGCUGGACUAGUGACAAGGCUGCCUUGUGGACGUUUUCAGGUGCCUUGUCUUCGGGCUUAGUAUCCUGACCGCCCAUCAAAACGGUCGAACUGGAACUGGUACGGACUCGGGGAAUCCGACUGUCUAAACAGAGGAGACAGAUGGUCCUUGCGGACGUUUGCUGUCUCUGAUUUCUGCCCAGUGCUCUGAAUGUUAAAUCGUAGUAAUUCGAGUAAGCGCGGGUAAACGGCGGGAGUAACUAUGACUCUCUUAAGGUAGCCAAAUGCCUCGUCAGCUAACUACUGACGCGCAUGAAUGGAUUAACGAGAUUCCCACUGAUUCCCACUUGUGAGUUCGCAUAGGUCCAUAGUAUUGUUUGGUAGU
rnacentral:ncRNA from 1 species